UACAGAGGAUGCAAGCGUUAUCCGGAAUGAUUGGUGACAUAAAGCGUCUGUAGGUGGACUUUUUAAGUCCGCCGUCAAAAUCCCAGGGCUCAACUCUGGACAGGCGGUGGAAACUACCAAGCUGGAGUACGGUAGGGGCAGAGGGAAUUUCCGGUGGAGCGGUGAAAUGCGUAGAUAUUGGAAAGACCACCGAUGGCGAAGGCACUCUACUGGGCCACUACUGACACUGAGAGACGAAAGCUAGGGGAGCAAAUGGG
rnacentral:rRNA from 1 species